CCCUUAGAUGUUCUGGGCCGCACGCGCGCUACACUGUUCGACGCAGCGAGUCUUAACCUUGACCGAAAGGUUUGGGUAAUCUUCAGCAAAGUCGAACGUGAUGGGGAUCGAUCAUUGCAAUUAUUGAUCGUGAACGAGGAAUUCCUAGUAAGUGCAAGUCAUCAGCUUGCGCUGAUUACGUCCCUGCCCUUUGUACACACCGCCCGUCGCUACUACCGAUUGAAUGUUCCGGUGAGCUCUUCGGACUGCGCGGUCUGCAGUUUCUGCGUUCCGUGCGGAAAGUUGCGCAAACCUUAACAUUUAGAGGAGGGAGAAGUCGUAACA
rnacentral:rRNA from 1 species